ACCCCCACGUGUGCCGGAAAACUACUUCUACUUGGGAUUUUGUUAGUGGGUAAGGGUAAUGGCCAGGAUUCAACAUAGAGGAUGAUGAUGCGACCCAAUAAUCAAUAAAUUUUGUUUAAUGGUGUGAUGUAUUAUGCAUUCUCAAGGCAAACAAUCGGAGGAUGCGGAUGAGAUUAUUCCCGGUUAUUUGGUGUUGAGCAAGGGUCCUGAUUUUCGGUUCAAUGAACAGAAACCACUCACUCAUCGCCUAUCCAUUCGUCGCCUAUUCCAACCCGCUAGCAUUCAUGAGCGAAUGAUACUCGCAAGCAGCCAGCGAGUGGCCCGAACUGUUGACUCAGCGAACAAAUACAUUGUGAAAAUAUUUGCCUACUCCGUCGCUCGACGACACUCACACACUACCAUGCUCAGCGAAGAGCCACUCUCACAAAAUGCCAGCAAGGCAGUCUUUUUGUCUUCACGUCCUCAGUUUGCCAUCAAUUUGAUUUUUCUUGGUGGAAGUUUCUUUCAAUGGUGUCUAUAAUAUUACACCAAGAACUGGGCAUCGGCAUACGAGAGGAUAAAGAGCACGAUUCGGUAGUAAAAUGGUACUGUGUGCGGACGGAGAGGAUAAAUCUCGAAAUUACCGAGAGUACUUUACUCAUGGUUCAUUUUCCAAAAAAGUUCAUCUAUCACAAAAAAGUACCGGUACCGAGACUCGAACCCAAGACCUUCGGCAUAUUGAACCGUGCCUUUGCCGUAUGGGCCACCAUGGUUCGGUGACUAAGUGGCGGUCAUUUGUCCAUAUAAGCAACUCAAUAGGAUGAACUGUUCCAAUGAACGAAUGAACACGCGAGAGGACUUUACUCUCGCAAAAUAGCACUUUCCUCACGUUGCUUUCCGUGAGGACUAUCCCCUCGUUCUUUAAUUUUGGGUGUAUGAAAUCAAAAUAAAUGCAAAAUUUAAUUGAUAACAUUGAUUUAAGCAACCCAAAUCAAUGAGUAUAACGCAUUGCAUCAGAGAAAAAAUGUUUUCAGUUAAGAGUGAUCGGAGACGAUCGGCCUACCGGAGCCGUUCGGAGACUGAGCCGAUCAGAGAGAGAAGGAGAGUAGAAUAGAGAGUGUUUGGGAGCGAAUGGUUUAAAAGUGACAAACGGUAGGAAUUCAUCAGGGCAGUAUCGCGUCGCCUGCUAUUUGUGCUCGCGAAUGGAGUGGUUGAUUUUGAGCAAUCAGGACCCUUGGUUUUAGGUUUAGAAAAAAAUAAAAUAAUAUUGUUUCUGAGAUACUCUAUAUUCAAAAUAUGAUUUAUUUAUUCAGUUUCAACCUUUAAAUUAAAAAAAAAACCUUGGAUGGAAAUGAAAAAAUUAAAGCAUUUUUAUUCGUAGAUCAAUCAAAAUUUAGCAGAACUUAUUUAUUCACAGCUUAUUUGCAAACCAACUUACAAACUUAUUAAAAUCUCUCAAAUUAAAGAAAAGUUUCUGCUACCAUAUAAAAUUUUGAACGAUAUUUUUUUGAAUAGUUUUUUUUCCAAACUGUCAGUGGGGGUGACUAUGGGUCAAAAAACGAUACACCUCUCGUAAUUACUUAAUAACAAAAACAAUUUAAAUAACAUCGAAAAUCUUUCAACGUAGAUUUGUUCUUAGAUAGUUUACUAACAUUUUCCCAAAAUAUGGUGGAUUUUGAUGAACUCUACCUUAAAUGCCAAUAGUUUGAAAAUUGACCCAAUCUCACCCCUUAGAGGGGGUGACAUUGGGUCAAAUGAAACUAAAAUGAUGCUCAAAUACAACGAUAUGGUAAGAACAAGUCAUCCAACAGUGUUUCUUGUUCGAGAGAAUCGUAUUGACAUGCUACAAUGUUUGAAGUGGAGAUUUUCAAACAUUUGGGUAGUUUUUGAGCAACUGUAACGUUGGUAGAAUUUAGGAUGUAAUUUGAUUUGAAAACCCCCAUAAAAAGAUGUUAAACUGCUUAAGAGUUAAGAAGCUUACCCAAAAAUAAGUUCACGUCCCCAAACCAAACCUCACCCUCGCGAGCAAUUGCGUCCUCACCAAUACAUCGGCGUUGUUUCCGGUCCGCCGGAGAGAUUGGGAGAGCGGUGCACGAGAAAGUAAGGAGGAGGGAGAGAGAGAGCGGGACCAAGGAGAGAGCAAGUUCGGGUUGACGGACGGAAAACCUGAGCUGUUGGGGAAGUCGUUUGAUGAAUCGGAGUGAGAACAGUCGCGUUCGACUGCUGGUGGUCGCGGAAAAAAUUGCGGUGCGCGAAAGUACACGCGAGUAAAAAAGGAGCUGUUCUGUGGAGGAGCGCAACUGUUCGUCGCGGUCCGCAAGCAUCGGCCGCGAACCCGGGUCAGCUCAUCCCGGCCGCCGCGUCCGAUAAGCGGAAUCGGUUCCUUCUGCUGGGCAGGCGCAACCCCUUCGAAACCCGGGGCACCACGUGCGGCGGGAGGCCGCUAGAAGCGAGGCCGCGAGGCGGCUCGAAGAAAAUCAGCGACGCGCAGGAGCCGGUGGACACGCCGAAAGAUUCGCCAGGUUCCGGGAAGCAGGUUGCGGUGUCUUCGGUCGCGGAGCGGCCAACGGUGAGGCCGUGGAGCAGCGUUUGAGGAAGAAGAGGGUGAGGAGAAGAAGGGUUUGAUGGACUAAGUAGGCAUUGAGAACAAUGGGACGAGAAGGAAUGAAAAAUAAACGUGUUUUGUGAUUUUGAA